rnacentral:rRNA from 1 species
UACGGAAGGCAGCAGUGGGGAAUAUUGCACAAUGGGCGAAAGCCUGAUGCAGCUAUGCCGCGUGUAUGAAGAAGGCCUUAGGGUUGUAAAGUACUUUCAUCGGGGAGGAAAAAACAAAACUAAUAAUUUUAUUUCUUGACGUUACUCGAAAAAGAAGCACCGGCUAACUCCGUGCCAGCAGCCGCGGUAAUACGGAGGGUGCUAGCGUUAAUCAGAAUUACUGGGCGUAAAGAGCACGUAGGUGGUUUUUUUAAGUCAGAUGUGAAAUCCCUGGGCUUAACCUAGGAACUGCAUUUUGAAACUGAAAUACUAGAGUAUCGUAGAGGGAGGUAGAAUUCUAGGUGUAGCGGUGAAAUGCGUAGAUAUCUGGAGGAAUACCUGUGGCGAAAGCGGCCUCCUAAACGAAUACUGACACUGAGGUGCGAAAGCGUGGGGAGCAAACAGGGAUUAGAUACC